GGCAAAGAUAAACGCUGGUCUCAGCACUAGUUCCUACUUAAGAUGGUCCAGAUACUAAAGGGGUUGUCUAAUGAAAGAGUAAGAUGUAGACAAAGUUUAUAAAAUAUUUUUUCACUCCUAUGGAUUUUCUAAUUCAUUUUCUAGGGACACGACCUACAGUCAACGCAUUGCUCUGAUACCAUCUGUAACAACCAAACCUCGAAGGAUUUGUGUCUCUGUGCUAGUCCCUAGAUCGAUUAGCUAGCACACAAAGUAUAUAUGAAUACCAAGAUAACAAGUGCGUCAUUUAUUACAAUGUAUGACCCAAAAUUUAUAAAGUAUAACAAUCUGCAUAGCACUUAGCUAACUUUAUUCUAUCAAACAACGAAAAAGUAGUAGAAUAAUAACGAUGAGUCCCAUCAUAGCCCACUGG
rnacentral:lncRNA from 1 species